UACGGAGGGUGCAAGCGUUAUCCGGAUUUACUGGGUUUAAAGGGUGUGUAGGCGGGCAUUUAAGUCUGGGGUGAAAUCUCCGAGCUCAACUCGGAAACUGCCUUGGAUACUAUUUGUCUUGAACUAUGUUGAGGUUGGCGGAAUAUAACAUGUAGCGGUGAAAUGCAUAGAUAUGUUAUAGAACACCGAUUGCGAAGGCAGCUAACUAAGCAUAUAUUGACGCUGAGGCACGAAAGCGUGGGGAUCAAACAGG
rnacentral:rRNA from 1 species